UGCAGUCGACGGUAACAGCGGAAGCUUGCUUCCGGCUGACGAGUGGCGGACGGGUGAGUAACGCGUAGGAAUCUGCCUAGUAGUGGGGGACAACCCGGGGAAACUCGGGCUAAUACCGCAUACGCCCUAAGGGGGAAAGCGGGGGAUCUUCGGACCUCGUGCUAUUAGAUGAGCCUGCGUCGGAUUAGCUUGUUGGUAGGGUAAUGGCCUACCAAGGCGACGAUCCGUAGCUGGUCUGAGAGGACGAUCAGCCACACUGGGACUGAGACACGGCCCAGACUCCUACGGGAGGCAGCAGUGGGGAAUAUUGCACAAUGGGCGCAAGCCUGAUGCAGCAAUGCCGCGUGUGUGAAGAAGGCCUGCGGGUUGUAAAGCACUUUCGAUUGGGAGGAAAAGUUUAGAGUUAAUAACUCUGGACCUUGACGUUACCUUUAGAAGAAGCACCGGCUAACUCCGUG
rnacentral:rRNA from 1 species